GCUGGGUGUGGCAGCCAGUGCCUGUUGUCCCAACCAUGUGGGAGGCGUCUGUGGGAGGAUAGCGUGAGUCCAGGAGUUCUGGGCUAUCUAGUGCCCUCUGCUGUUUGGGUGCCUGCAAUAAGUUCAGCAUCAAUAUGGUGACCUCUUGGGAGUGGAGGACCAACACGUUGCCUAAGGAGGGGAGAACUGCCCCAGGCAGGAAAUUGAAUAGGCAAAAACUCUUGUGCUGAUCAAUAUUAUAGAAACCUUUUAUUUUUUCCAGAGCCUAUGAAACUUACACAUAUUGAUUAUAUUUUAAAUAU
rnacentral:SRP_RNA from 1 species